GGCGGGGUAGCUCAGCUGGUUAGAGCGCUCGGCUCAUACCCGGGAGGUCGCGAGUUCAAGUCUCGCCCCCGCUACCA
rnacentral:tRNA from 1 species